UCACAACAGGAAACAGUUCUAAGGUAGUAGCUGUCCUCAGCCCAGCUAAGAAUAUCAUCAUUACUGUGGCUUUGUGCACUUUGAGUCAGAGGACCUACUAUGCUGACCCUGAACAUCACAAGAGAGGACAAAACAUAAAAUUAGGAGAGUUGAGGAACAGUUUUGAUUUUUAUGGCAAAGCAGUAUUUCUCCCGGACCACUGUUGUUAAAGUCGGAAAAAAAGGAGAGUACAAAUGAGGGAACUGAAGAAAUCAAGCCUGAAGAGUAAAACGUCAAACAAUAUUUUGCUAAGCAAUGACCAGUGGAGAAGGCCCAUGGAAACAUCAAUACAGGUCAUGCAAAGUGAUACGCACCCAGCCCUGCAAUUUGUGAUUCAGAAGCUUCC